rnacentral:lncRNA from 1 species
AUCAGUUUUCACCUUUCACUGGCCCUUUCUUUGAAGGCCUGGAUAUUCCCCUUCUAUCCUAUUGCAUGAUCUGGAAUAGAAGCUGAGAAGUCAGAUCUGCAGUUACAGAGCCUGAAAUAAAAAGAUGAGCGGUUAGCGCCUUUAAUUUACGCCUCCAGGCAGCAGAGAACCCGGUCAGAGGCGACGAACAAGGCGGCAGCGCGGCUGCUAGGGUUUCCAAGGUCUGCUUCCUUCGGUCGGCAGCAUCCCUCAGCCCUUGGGAUUACAAAAGAAAACCCCCACGUCUCUCCCGAGAGGCACUGAUGACAAUAAAAGAAGGAACUGAACUCCACCACCUGUCUGUUUGGCUACCACUCCCCAUUUCUACGUACUCCACAGUACUAUUUCUCUGUUCGAAUCCACUGGCCCCCACGAGGUCGUUGCCUCCCUCCCCCCUCCCUCCCCCACCCCCACAAAAC